AGCGAACGCUGGCGGCGUGCCUAACACAUGCAAGUCGAACGUGAAAAGGGAAACCUGAGUAUAGUGGCGUACGGGUGAGUAACGCGUAGGUAAUCUACCCCAGAAUCUGGAAUAACCUGCCGAAAGGCGGGCUAAUACUGGAUAGAGCGAGGGAACUCGUAAGAGAGUUUUUCGGGAAAGGGAGCCCGCAAGGGCCUUCGUUCUGGGAUGAGCCUGCGUCUCAUUAGCUAGUUGGUAAGGUAACGGCUUACCAAGGCGAUGAUGAGUAGCUGGUCUGAGAGGAUGAUCAGCCACACUGGAACUGAAACACGGUCCAGACUCCUACGGGAGGCAGCAGUGGGGAAUCUUGCGCAAUGGACGAAAGUCUGACGCAGCCACGCCGCGUGAGUGAAGAAGGCCUUCGGGUUGUAAAGCUCUGUCGGAUGGGACGAACAUCUUCAUAGUGAAUAGCUAUGAGGACUGACGGUACCAUCAAAGGAAGCACCGGCUAACUCCGUG
rnacentral:rRNA from 1 species